GCAUGAACUCCCGAACUGCAGGAUAGUGCAGAAGUGAGGGGAACCAGGUUGACUAAAGUAACUGAAGUGAUAGAAACGGAUUAACUUCGUAUCAUACUGAGGUUGCCUGUUCUAUCGUAGUACAGGG